rnacentral:rRNA from 1 species
GGCUGACGCCUGCCCGGUGCUGGAAGGUUAAGAGGAGCGCUUAGCGUAAGCGAAGGUGCGAAUUGAAGCCCCAGUAAACGGCGGCCGUAACUAUAACGGUCCUAAGGUAGCGAAAUUCCUUGUCGGGUAAGUUCCGACCCGCACGAAAGGCGCAACGAUCUGGGCACUGUCUCAACGAGAGACUCGGUGAAAUUAUAGUACCUGUGAAGAUGCAGGUUACCCGCGACAGGACGGAAAGACCCCGUGGAGCUUUACUGCAGCCUGAUAUUGAAUGUUGGUACAGCUUGUACAGGAUAGGUAGGAGCCUUGGAAACCGGAGCGCCAGCUUCGGUGGAGGCAUCGGUGGGAUACUACCCUGGCUGUAUUGACCUUCUAACCCGCCGCCCUUAUCGGGCGGGGAGACAGUGUCAGGUGGGCAGUUUGACUGGGGCGGU